rnacentral:rRNA from 1 species
GACGAACGCUGGCGGCGUGCUUAACACAUGCAAGUCGCACGAAGUGGCGAACGGGUGAGUAAUACGUGGGUAACCUGCCCUCCUUUUUGGGAUAAGCCUUGGCACCGGGGUAUAAUACCGAAUAUUGGGUUAUGGUCUCGCGGCCUAUCAGCUUGUUGGUGGUGUGAUGGCGUAACAAGGCGGUGACGGGUCGCCGGCCUGAGAGGGUGACCGGUCACAUUGUGACUGAGAUACGGCCCAGACUCAUACGGGAGGCAGCAGCGGGGGAUAUUGCAAAAUGGGCGAAAGCCUGAGGCAGCGACGCCGCGGUAAUAC